rnacentral:rRNA from 1 species
CCUACGGGAGGCAGCAGUGAGGAAUAUUGGUCAAUGGACGAGAGUCUGAACCAGCCAAGUAGCGUGAAGGAUGACUGCCCUAUGGGUUGUAAACUUCUUUUAUAUGGGAAUAAAAUGUUCCACGUGUGGGAGGUUGGAGGUACCAGAUGAAUAAGGAUCGGCUAACUCCGUGCCAGCAGCCGCGGUAAUACGGAGGAUCCGAGCGUUAUCCGGAUUUAUUGGGUUUAAAGGGAGCGUAGGUGGAUUGUUAAGUCAGUUGUGCAAGUUUGCGGCUCACCCGUACAAUUGCAGUUGAAACUGGCAGUCUGUAUUACAGUAGAGUUGGGCGGAAUUCGUGGUGUAGCGGUGAAAUGCUUAGAUAUCACGAAGAACUCCGAUUGCGAAGGCAGCUCACUGGACUACAACUGACACUACUUCUCGAAAGUGUGGGUAUCAAACAGGAUUAGAUACCCGAGUAGUC